AACAAGUAUUUCUAAUCAUGCAGCAAACAUCAAAUCUUCAUAAAAAUUUUUGAGAAAAAUAAUAUAUCGAAAGAAAAGAACAUUAGAGAAGAUCGAAAUAGUUAUGUAAUUAUAUCUUUUACAAUAGAACUGAAAGAGAUCUGAAACAACAUCCACCAACACCGCAAACAUGAGAAAAAAGUGGAGAUUUUAGAAGAGCUUGGAUUGAGAAAAGAAGAAGAGAAUAGGAG
rnacentral:lncRNA from 1 species